AGGGCCUCAGACCAAAGAAAGGCCUCCGGCCUCCGCCUCUAGGAGAGCUCCUCCUCCAGGCUCCAGCGACCAGCGGGCAGCGACCAACAGGCAGCGAUGAGCGACCAACGGUCCGCAACCGGCAUCCAGGCCAACGGCAACGGGACAAGACAUCUUAGCCAUCCGCGGAUCCGCCCAUCCCCCGUCCGUAGCGCGUCUUCUCCAGCUGCCCAAGCCUUAGCGUAGCCAACUAGCCCGUCUUCUCCAUCCAACCAUCCGCCUGGCACGCCACCGUCUUCUUACUUCUUAAAUGUCAGCCGAUCGGUCCGACACCAUAAUCCCAAAUAACCAAAGUGGACGGCGUCUUCUUCUUCAUCCUUGAGUUCUUCCUUCAGCAGACAGCAGCUCAGCUCUUCUUCGGUUCUUGAAUCUUGACUCAAGUCAUUCAAUAGUUCUUCCUCUUCCUUCCCGGCUUCCCGUUCCUCGAAUCUCGAUAACUCGGUUCUUGAGACUUGACGCCGGCGUCUCUUCUCCAGGUCUCCUUCUCGUUCUCGGCCCUCCGCGGCUCCGCAGUCCGUCCUCGACUAGGUGUCAGGUGAGU
rnacentral:lncRNA from 1 species